rnacentral:lncRNA from 1 species
UCCAAGGUAAUCGAUCAUCACAACCAAGUAAUUUAAACAAAAUUUGAAUUAGUCAAUCAAUUCAGUUAAAACAAAUUUUAUUUAAAAGUGACUAAAACAAGGUAGAUACAAUGUGCUCAAACUAAGCCCAAACGAAGCAUGAUCGAUGGCCAACAAACACAACAUACAUCUCAACACUUCAAAUUAAAUCAGCCUGAAAACUCUUACUGGAUAAUAAUUACAUCAGCCCGAUAAUAGAUUAUAUAUAAACGACUCUCUCAACAAUGGUGAUAAUCACUUGGCUCGAUUCACAUGCGUAUGAAGCACGACAAACCAACAACCAAAAUGUUUGUAUCAUUCAAAGAUCAAUGCAACCUUCUUUAUACAUUUCAUAAAUAAAAUAUCCUGCAUCUUAAAAACUGAUCCUCACAGUAGUCAUAACAACAUAAAACCAAAGAUUAACGGCAUUGCCUCUCCGUAUAAUACAUUCUACAAUACGCACAACAGGAAUAUGUGUACCAACACACAGAUGAUCGAGAAUACACGAUGCAAUGUCAGAUUUGUGUAGUUCAAAAUCAAAUUAAAAUUUUAAACUUGAAAUGAAAAGGUUACCGAUACUGAGUUGGCUACCGUAAUGACAGCUAAAGGGACUCAAAAUUUCCUUUGAAGCUUUAUGGUGGUUUGUUGUUUUCGUUGAGGACUUCGGCGGCAGCGGAUUCUGGCGAUGGCAUAGUGAUGGUGUUUGAUGGAAUAUUUUCACUCACGUUGCUGCUAGAACUCUUGACUCAAUGCAAGUUGGAGGCGGAACAUUGAGGGAGAUACGGUGACUUCCGCUUGCGAGUCUUCUGGCGACAUAAAAACGGAACGAGCGGGCAAGGGUUCUGCGAUGUUUGUGCGACACCGACGGAGGCGCGAAUGGUGAAGGAAGCGAAUGUGUUUUCCGGUGUUGUAAAGGGUUGUUGUUGUUUAUGGUAAUGGAUUGGUUAGCUUGGAGAAGGAGGAGUACACCGCAUAAAGGUGAACAGAAGGAUUUGUAUAGUUAUUCAUGGACGAGGGUUUCGAAGUGUUGUCGCAGGGUUUGGUUAUGUUAUUUGUGUGAGAUCCGGCGACAAAAGGUAGCGUGUGAGGAAGAUGAGGGACGAGGUUAUGGGUUCAACGGUAGAGCAAAAGGGUUAUAGUAGUGGAUGGCGCGUUGGAGGUGUGAAGAAGAAGAGGAUGGCACGACAAUGGGUUUUUGAAGGUAGGUAGUGGAGGGUUUUUUCGAAUUAAAGAAGAAGUUGGGUGGAGAAUAGGUGUGGUUUUGGGAGUUCACGACGGUGAUGGUUAAGGGAAGAAGAAAGGAUGCGGUCGGUGGUGUGAAGAAGAAGAGGAACAGUGUUUUUUCUUUUUCUUCUUGCUAUUCUAUUUUAGUAGCAGAGAGUGGAGAGAGGAGAAAGGUCCCUCGUGGGCUCUUUUUAAUUUUUUUUCUUUAGCUUUUCACUUUUUUUCUUUUUUUAGAGAGAAAAGAGGUUAGGUCAAUGGGAGGAAAUGAGUGGUAUCAGGUGAGAGAAAGAAUCUUGUGAGUGAGGUGUGAGUGAUUCUAUUUAUUUCUUUUUUCUUUUUGUAACGUGAGGAACCUGUGAGAGAGAGAGGAAGUUGUUAUUGAUGAGUGUUUUG